UACAGAGGGUGCGAGCGUUGUUCGGAAUUAUUGGGCGUAAAGGGCGCGUAGGCGGUGCGGUAAGUCACCUGUGAAAUCUCCUGGCUCAACUGGGAGCUUGCAGGCGAAACUGCCGUGCUGGAGUGUGGGAGAGGUGCGUGGAAUUCCCGGUGUAGCGGUGAAAUGCGUAGAUAUCGGGAGAAACACCUGUGGCGAAAGCGGCGCACUGGACCACAACUGACGCUGAGGCGCGAAAGCUAGGGGAGCAAACAGG
rnacentral:rRNA from 1 species